GCCUCUGUAAUCUUCGAUGGGAUCUUCCCAUAUAUCUUGUUGUGAGAUAUGUCCAGUGUUACCAAAGCCUCAUUCAUAAAACCAACCUUUGAGAAAUCAAACUCAAAGCUAUUACGCGAUAUAUCAAGGAGUUGACAGCUUUUGUCUUCACCAAACAGCAUGGAUGCAUCUCCUGAAAAACUAUUUCUUGACAGAUCAAUACGUUGGAACUUCGUAGUACCUAGAGAAAGCGGUAGCUCGCCUGAAAGCUUGUUAUGAGAUAGUAUGAGAACUGGUGAGUUCAAAGUAGUGGGGAAAAGACCAUAAGAUUCGGGUAAAGAUCCGG
rnacentral:lncRNA from 1 species